rnacentral:rRNA from 1 species
AUGCAGAUUGCUGGACUCAACACCCUCGGCAUCUCAAUUGCGCGCAUCGACUAUGCUCCCUUGGGUCAAAACCCACCACAUACGCACCCUCGCGCCACUGAGAUCCUCACGGUGCUUGAGGGGACACUGUACGUUGGCUUUGUCACAUCCAACAAGCCCGCCCCAAACAGAAACAAGUUCCUCUCGAAGGUGCUCAACAAAGGUGAUGCGUUCGUCUUCCCCGUGGGGCUCAUCCACUUCCAAUUCAACCCCAACCCCCACAAGCCCGCCGUUGCAAUUGCCGCGCUCAGCAGCCAGAACCCAGGGGCUAUCACAAUUGCCAAUGCGGUGUUUGGGUCAGACCCACAAAUAUCCGAUGAUGUUCUUGCCAAGGCGUUUCAGGUGGAAAAGAAUACAAUAGACUGGCUCCAGGCUCAGUUCUGGGAGAACAACCACAACUAA